GUGGGGAAUAUUGGACAAUGGGGGGAACCCUGAUCCAGCCAUGCCGCGUGUGUGAAGAAGGCCUUUUGGUUGUAAAGCACUUUAAGCGAGGAGGAGGCUACCGAGAUUAAUACUCUUGGAUAGUGGACGUUACUCGCAGAAUAAGCACCGGCUAACUCUGUGCCAGCAGCCGCGGUAAUACAGAGGGUGCGAGCGUUAAUCGGAUUUACUGGGCGUAAAGCGUGCGUAGGCGGCUUUUUAAGUCGGAUGUGAAAUCACCGAGCUUAACUUGGGAAUUGCAUUCGAUACUGGGAAGCUAGAGUAUGGGAGAGGAUGGUAGAAUUCCAGGUGUAGCGGUGAAAUGCGUAGAGAUCUGGAGGAAUACCGAUGGCGAAGGCAGCCAUCUGGCCUAAUACUGACGCUGAGGUACGAAAGCAUGGGGAGCAAACAGGAUUAGAAACCCCGGUAGUCC
rnacentral:rRNA from 1 species